AUCACUUUCACCAUACACAUGUCUCUCCGCCUAUUUUUCUCAUCUUUCAUCGAACUCAUGGUUGCAACUAAGCCCUCAAAUGACUCUUUCCCUCCCUCCCCUUGCAUCCCUACUAAUAAAAUAAGGAGCCUGAAACUUUUGUCCUGCCGCUUUCAAUCUUUCAUUUACUUUUGACGACAUUCUGUGAAUAUGUCAAGAAUUUAAGGAUGUAAAUCUGCGAUCUAAUCUGUGUUUUCAUUGCUUUUUCUUUUAAGGUUUGAAUCUAAAGAUUUCUGCUAACAAGUCCCAGACCUGGCACCAUAUAAAGGGUUUUCCAAUUCAAGGUCCUAAGAUAAAGAUUUACUUGAACAACUCUAAGGAAUAACGCCAUAAAAAGUUUGAAUCUAAAGAUUUCUGCUAACAAGUCUCAGAUCUGGCACCAUAUAAGGGCUUUCCAAUUCAAGUACCUAAGAUAAAGAUUUACUUGAACAACUCUAAGGAAUAACGCCAUAAAAGGUUUGAAUCUAAAGAUUUCUGCUAACAAGUCCCAAACCUGGCACCAUAUAAAGGGUUUUCCAAUUCAAGGUCCUAAGAUAAAGAUUUACUUGAACAACUCUAAGGAAUAACGCCAUAAAAAGUCAGUGUUCUUUAUAUUUAUCUCUUCUUCUAUUUUUGAAAUAGUACUCACAGAUAUGCGGAGGUGACAGCAAAGAGAAGAGAAAUCCAAUUUAGUUGGCUACAUCAUUGUGACGGAGGGCAAAGAGACAACCAGAGAUUCACCAAAUUGGAUUUCUCCUUCUCUUUGCUUCACCACGUGUCUUUUCUCCUUCUUCCGUUAAUAUCUAAGCAUUUCAAGUAAUUUAUGAAAGUUAAUAAGGGUAAUUUAGCAAAACUAAAAACAUUCUUAGAGCUUAUAAAAUCCAACAUCGUUGCAAAUCCUACAACCGUUCUUAAUUUAUCACUUUCACUGUACACAGGUCUCUCCGCCUAUUUUUCUCAUCUUUCAUCAAACUCAUGGCUGCAACUAAGCCCUUAAAUGACUUUUUCCCUCCCUCCCUUGCAUCCCCUCUAAUAAAAUAAGGAGUCUGAAUCUUUUGUUCUGAAUCUUUUGUUUUGCCGCCUUCAAUCUUUCAUUUACUUUUGACGACAUUUUGUGAAUGAAUGUGUCAAGCAUUUAAGGAUGUAAAUCUGCAUUCUAAUCUGUGUUUUCAUUGUUUUCUCUUUUAAGGCUUGAAUCUAAAAAUUUCUGCUAACAAGUCCCAGAUCUAGGCACCAUGUAAAGGUCGGCUCUCUUUAUCCAUCUUUGUUUUCAAUUUAGGCAUGUAGUCUGAGUUCUAAUCUCUUUUUCAAGGUUUCCAAUUCAAGGCCCUAAGCUAAAGAUUUUAUUGAACAACUCUAAGGAAUAACGCC